AUACGGAGGGUGCAAGCGUUAAUCGGAAUUACUGGGCGUAAAGCGCACGCAGGCGGUCUGUCAAGUCGGAUGUGAAAUCCCCGGGCUCAACCUGGGAACUGCAUUCGAAACUGGCAGGCUUGAGUCUUGUAGAGGGGGGUAGAAUUCCAGGUGUAGCGGUGAAAUGCGUAGAGAUCUGGAGGAAUACCGGUGGCGAAGGCGGCCCCCUGGACAAAGACUGACGCUCAGGUGCGAAAGCGUGGGGAGCAAACAGGAUUAGAUACCCUGGUAGUCCACGCCGUAAACGAUGUCUACUUGGAGGUUGUGCCCUUGAGGCGUGGCUUCCGGAGCUAACGCGUUAAGUAGACCGCCUGGGGAGUACGGCCGCAAGGUUAAAACUCAAAUGAAUUGACGGGGGCCCGCACAAGCGGUGGAGCAUGUGGUUUAAUUCGAUGCAACGCGAAGAACCUUACCUGGUCUUGACAUCCACGGAAGUUUUCAGAGAUGAGAAUGUGCCUUCGGGAACCGUGAGACAGGUGCUGCAUGGCUGUCGUCAGCUCGUGUUGUGAAAUGUUGGGUUAAGUCCCGCAACGAGCGCAACCCUUAUCCUUUGUUGCCAGCGGUCCGGCCGGGAACUCAAAGGAGACUGCCAGUGAUAAACUGGAGGAAGGUGGGGAUGACGUCAAGUCAUCAUGGCCCUUACGACCAGGGCUACACACGUGCUACAAUGGCGCAUACAAAGAGAAGCGACCUCGCGAGAGCAAGCGGACCUCAUAAAGUGCGUCGUAGUCCGGAUUGGAGUCUGCAACUCGACUCCAUGAAGUCGGAAUCGCUAGUAAUCGUGGAUCAGAAUGCCACGGUGAAUACGUUCCCGGGCCUUGUACACACCGCCCGUCACACCAUGGGAGUGGGUUGCAAAAGAAGUAGGUAGCUUAACCUUCGGGAGGGCGCUUACCACUUUGUGAUUCAUGACUGGGGUGAAGUCGUAACAAGGUAACCGUAGGGGAACCUGCGGUUG
rnacentral:rRNA from 1 species